rnacentral:rRNA from 1 species
UACGAAGGGGGCUAGCGUUGUUCGGAAUUACUGGGCGUAAAGAGCUCGUAGGCGGUUUGUCGCGUCGUUCGUGAAAACUUGGGGCUUAACUCCAAGCGUGCGGGCGAUACGGGCAGACUUGAGUACUACAGGGGAGACUGGAAUUCCUGGUGUAGCGGUGAAAUGCGCAGAUAUCAGGAGGAACACCGGUGGCGAAGGCGGGUCUCUGGGUAGUAACUGACGCUGAGGAACGAAAGCGUGGGUAGCGAACAGG